rnacentral:lncRNA from 1 species
AUCCUGGUGCAAUUAAAAUAUCGAGAAUGAAUCACACACAAACACACCUGUGGUACUGCAGACCUGCCCAGGUGCUGCUGUUAAGUCCAAUAUGGCCUGGGGCCACCACUGGUCAAAACCUGUUUCAGUGAGGCAACCCACAUGUUUGCAUAUAGACAUGGAUAUAGGAAAUGCUGUUGCUGCUGAUUUAAUUGAACAGUAUUAGACUUUUAUAAGAGCUUUAGAUAUGUGUAUAUAGAAAUACCCCUUCCUCUUCACAUGAAAUGUUCAUUGUGUAUUCUUUUAUUUGUUUGUCAUUUGACUGUGGCCAAACUGGAGCACCACCUUUAGUCGAACAAAUUUACCCCAGGACUUAUUCUUUGUAAGCCUAGUACUUAUUCAAUCGGUCUCUUUUGUUGAACUGCUAAGUUGCAGGGACGUCAACAUAUUUGUUGUCAAGCGAUGAUGGGGGGGACAAACACCUACACACGUGUACACACAAAGAUAUAUAUGGUGGUUGUCUACUUCUUAUGCAGAGUUUGACCACCUCCUGUAUCUACACCUUAGCACCAUCAUGUCUUCUGAUGUGGCUUUUUAAACCAGACAAUGUUUUGAAAAGACACCCACAUAGAUUGCACAUCCGACUUGGACCACCAAGAGCUGCAGAAUAGUUCUGCUCUUUGUGGAUCUUAAAAUGUCUUUUGAGGCCUCCGUUAGAUUUGCAAACCUUCUGGCAUACACUGCAUUCAAAGGUGUGCAGAGAUAUGUAGGGAGAAUUAGUGGGAGGGUCAUUUUCAAUAGGUUUGCAGAUAAGAUUUGGGCCCAGCAAACUACAGGCUUGGUCUGUCACAGACUGUGCAAAAACGUCAUUGUCAUUCACCUUCUCGAUUGUAACAUUCUUCCUUCAGUCUCUUUGGAGUCUUACAUGCAUUAACCUGACCUCUUCACAUGCUUUUACUCCACUCCACACUUUUGUUCACCAUCCAACUCAAUCUCAAGCAAGGGUUUCUAUGUCUUCUGGAUCAUGUGUGUAUGUAUGUAUAUAUAUGUAUAUUACUUAUUAGUCUGUUUACAUUAAGGUGGCUAGCUGGCAGAAUUGGUCAGGCAUUGGGAAAAUGCUUUGUGGCAUUUGUUUUGGUUCUUUCCAUUCUGAGUUCAGAUUCUGUAGGGAUCAACUUUGAUUUUCAUCUCUCCAGGGUCAAUGAGUACCACUCAAGUAUUGGGGUCAGUGGUAUCCACUAACCUUUUCCCCCAUAAAAUUGCUGACCUUGUGCCAAUAUCCAAAACCAUUGUCAAUCUGUUUACAUGUGAUGGCAGUAGGAUUUUAGGUAGGUAGAAAGAGACACUCUUGCUCCUCUUUGUUUCAAUACACAGCCUCAUUCUCUUCCUCCUCCCCACAAAUAUGUGGCUUUGUGCCAACAUGAGAAAUUUUUAUUGUUACUUUUAUUUUCAUGUCAGUAGUAAAUGUGAUGUGGAGCAUCAGGUUCUUGGUAAAUAGUCUGAAAGCAGUUUCAGUUGUGGUGAUAAGCAAUCGAAACAGCUGGGAAAGCUUCUUACUGCUUUCUUCAGGAUUUGAGCUCAACACUGCAGUUGAAUGACACCAGUGUUGUUUGCUUGUUUUUAAGAUAGCAACUUGUAUUUUUGCUUGGUAUCUAUUUACAACUGCCUAGAUUGGGAUUUUUUAGAAUUUAGAGUCCAUGAUUCCUUUUAACUGAUUUUUGUCACUCUUAAUGUUAGAUAAUACUGUUGUUUGUGUUUUUAGACUUGUUGAUGUACAACAAAACAAAAUGUCCUGUAACUCUUUGUAUAUUAUUGAGUCAACAACCAAAAUUUUGACUACUAAAUAUAGGAUGUAAUUAGCCAUUCAGUCUCAUGGAAGCCAUCCUCUCAAUUGAAAUGGCUAUAGAAUCACACUGCAGUUACAGACUUCAGUUCCUCUGCUUCAGUGCGCUCACACUCAUACAAAAGACCAAACAAAUUGUGAUCUAAACUGUACAUAUUCAAUUGGUAUCUUGCAAAUGCUUUCUAACAUAUCACACAGUGCUUAGCCAUGCACAUUUUCCCAAAGCUGAAGCAGGCAUAUCAUUAUAUGAUCUGGCAGAGCACUGAGGCUGGUGUUUGUGGCACUAACAACCCACAUGUAGCUGUUUCAUUUCAUUUACAAUGCUAAGCACUUUCAGUUGCAGCAUGAAUAUCACACCAUUUCCAUUCCCCGCAAACUCGGAUGUCUUGUGGCCAAUGUAAGCCUGAGGCAAAACCUUACAGUAUUAAGGAAUUUUCGCAAAACUUCCACGUCUUUGUUUUUUUUCUUCUUUUUGUUUAAAUGUUUAUUUUUUCUUAUUUACAUUUGCUUUACUCUGUUGUCCUAAAUGGUCUCAUAGACAAGUGAAAUGUUUCCAUAUCCUGGGACUGAAUGAAUUAUGGACAACAUAUGCUAACCAUUUGUUCUGAAGUAUCUGUGCCCACAGACGUUUUAUUAUUGACCAUGUUGGCUUCUGUUGUCAAAAUUUAUUUACUUGACUUUGUUCUAUGCAAAGCAGUUUUUCUCCAGUCGUCAUCGUCGUCCUUCUCCCCCUCAUCAUCACGACCAUUUUAAUGUCUACAUUAUCCAUAAUUGCGUGGAUGUCAGACAGGUGUUUAUUAAAAGGCAGAUUUUGUAUGGCCGGAUGUUCUUCCUGUUGCUAACCCUUAUCCUUUACCAAAAGCAAACUAAUAUUUCCUUGUGACCAGAUAUGUUUUUGCAGAAUAUUGGAAAUGAGUGACACUGCUUGUAUGACAGUGACACUCAUUUACAACCAUCACAUGAUGUCAAGAUGAUACAUAUACAUACAUGAGCACACACACACACACACACACAAAAUGGGCUUUUUUUAGUUUACAUCUGCCAAAUCCACUCACAAAGCUUUGGUUAGUCUGGGGCUGUAGUAGAAGACACUUGCCCAAGUUGCUGUGCAAUGGGAUUGAACACAAAACCAUAUGAUUGGAAAGUAAACUUCUUAACCACACAGCCAUGCCUGCGCCUUCAGUUGUGAAAACUCGAGUUGGUUUUAUGCCAGGUAGUUUUCCUCCAGUUAUCUCCCUUAUUUCACACCUGUCCCAUUUUCUCAAAUUACCUCUCCGACUAGUCUGCUGUUAGUAGAGAAUCUACAAUAAUCUCCAGUUACCAGUCAACAACUUAGCACUGUAGCUUCAUUAAAAUAUCCAUCCAUUCAUCUUCAGUUUUUGUUAUACUGUGUAUAAAUCAAUAUUCUUUGGGUUUAUCACUACCAACAUCUAAUGUCCAUCCUCACGUUGUUGCUUGUUAUUGCAUUAUUUCUUUUUGUGGUGGUUGUUUGUAUGUUUUUUUUUUUUUUUUAAAAAACCCAUUUUUUGUUACUUGGAAUUAACAGCCACACAAAGUGUUGCUGUGUGUUUUUGGCCGGAAGAUAAUCCACUAGUAACUUUUUGGAUUAACAUCUCAUUUUCCCCCAGUGAUUUCUGAUCAAUUUAUUGCUAUUACUAUGAUUGUGAUGUUAGAAACCUUUAUUAUCAUUGUUUUUAUUGUUGUUAUUAUUAUUAUUAAGAGGGGGUCAUCUGGCAGAAUUGUUAGUGCACUGGACAAGUAGCUUUAUAGCAUUUCUUCCAGUUUUUAACAUUCUGAAUUUAAAUUCCACCGAGAUUCACUUUGCCUUUCAUCGUUUUAGGGUUGAUAGAAUAAGGACUAAUUGAACACUGGGGCUGAUGUAAUCACCUAGCCCUUUACCCCCAAAUUGGCAGAAUCAUUAGUACACUGGGUGAAAUGCUUACCAGCAUUUCAUCAGUCUUUACGUUCUGAGUUCAAAUUCUGCUGAGGUUGACUUUUGCCUUUCAUCCUUUUGGGGUUGAUAAAAUAAGUACCAGUUGCUUACUGGGGUCAAUCUAAUUGACUGGCUCCCUCCCUAAAAAUUUCGGGGUUAGUAUAAUUGACUUAUCCCCUCUCCCGAAAUUGCUGGCCUUGUGCCAAAAUUAGAAACCAUUAUUAUUAUAGCUGGCGCUAUGGUGUGGUACUAAGUUCUUUAUUUAUUAUCUGGUUUCAGCACUUAAUUAAAAUUUCUCUUAAUUUUACUAAUCCCUUUGGGGAAAGUCCUGAAUAUCACAGCAACUUUAUGGUCUUUAUAAGAAAUACUCAUUAUUAAGCAGCAGAAUGGUUAAAUGUUUCUUGGAUAUCCUGCCAUAAAGUCCAUGUGUUUAUAAUCCCUUUGGAGAUCUCUAAUCUACAAAGUUAAUGAAGAAACAACAAUGAUGCUUCUUUUCCUUUUCAUUUGAUGACUUCAAUAUUUAAUUGACAUAUUAACUCUUUUGAGACCAACCCUUGGUUCUAUAAUACAAACCUGCUGUUCUAAAGUGAUCUAAAUUGAAAUCUCCCAUCAAUAUUUCUCAUGUUAAUUUAAGUCUCAAACACCAGCUUAAAUAACGAUAGUUAUUUUUUUACUAAUUUCUUUGAUUUUUCAAAGGCAGUGAAUUUCAAUGGAAAUAUGGUAACAAAAGGGUUAAGGUUACAAAACUUAAGACAGGACUCUUUAUUACAAAUGACCUUCUGCAAUUUGUAUUUGUAACUGAAAUGUGUGAGAAAUGCUAGUGUUUCUUUUCUGACAUUAUUUUUAUCUUUCUCAGUCAUUCCAUGAGAGAGAGAGAGAUCAAUUCUUCAUUUGUGUAUAACUUAUCUACAUAUCUGCAAUAUAUUUUGGACCAAUCCAUAAAAAGGUGGAAGCUUUUUUUUCUUUAAUUUUUAGAAAAUAUCUUCAGUUGUUCUCUCUCUGGUAUGAUUGCUUACCAUAAUUUAGUUUGUCCUCCCUUUUUUGUCAUGCUUAUUUCACCCUUUCCCCAACAUACAUGAAUCAUAAGUCUGUGUGUAUGUAUGUAUGUCUCUUUAUGUAUAUAUAAUUAACAUCAUUGCUUUCUUUCCAGACUAUUUGUUAAUUAGCUAUCGUUUAGCUCUGUGUCAGUGAAAUUUAACAAAAAAGAAUAGUUUUGAAAAAAAAAAAAAUGGUUGUGUUAAAAAGAAAAAAGAAAAAUGAUAGAUUUGAAAGAGAACUGUAAAUAUAUAUUUUUGUGCAUAAAUCUCUUUAUAUAUAUGUAUAGAUAUAAAUAUAUAUAGAAUAUAUGUAUGUAUGUAUAACUAGACCUAAUUGAAGACAAUCUUUUUGUAAUCUAUUGAGAUUGUUAAGCUGAACACAUUGUAAGCCAUAUCCAAAAUACACUCAUAUGAUAUAGUCUCUAUCAUCUAAUGGUAUAUGAUAGCUACUGCCUCUUGCUGUUGGCUUGCUUGCCUUCCUGCUCCAAAGCCAUUCAUCUUGGUGUGAGCUAAUGGUUGAAGAAUGGUUGCAAUGUUUUUUGCUGCCAACUUUUUUUUUUAUCUUGGUUGGCCAUAAUUUACUUGCUCAAGUCUUCAAAAAUUAUUACUAUUAUUAUUAAUAAAUUGUCUUUUUUUU